CAUUGGACAUGUUAAGUACUACAUCAAUGAUGGAAAAUUUGGAUCAUUCAGUGCGAUAGAUGACGACAAGAAUAUAUUAGUAAUGUCACCAGUCCAUGAAAAGGCCAGAGCGGGAAGAUAUAACAGUAGCAUGUGGGGCCCGACAUGUGCUGGGACGGAUUGCCUAGCAACAGACACCUCUUUACCGCUGAUGAAGGUUGACGAGUGGGUAUAUAUCAGUUACGCAGGAGCCUAUACAUUCAGCCGUUCAACUAACUUCAACACGAUGCCAAAGCCACAAUUCUAUUACUUCUGUUCACGUAAUGUUUGGCGUAUGAUCACCGACAAGGUUCCCUGUGUUUGACUGGUGGCGUGGUAAAGAAGGUUCAUACUGCCCAGCUCGCAUGUCAUUGUGGUAUAAUCAAUAUCGCUACCGACUAGCUCGCUAAUCAUGGAGGGAUAACUAUUGAAAUAUGAACUCCUAGCUCACUGAUCAUUAGAGAUAACUACUAUUGGUAUACCCA